UACGGGGGGAGCAAGCGUUGUUCGGAUUUACUGGGCGUAAAGGGCGCGUAGGCGGCGUGACUAGUCACUUGUGAAAUCUCCGGGCUUAACUCGGAACGGUCAAGUGAUACUGUCGUGCUAGAGUACAGAAGGGGCAACUGGAAUUCUCGGUGUAGCGGUGAAAUGCGUAGAUAUCGAGAGGAACACCUGCGGCGAAGGCGGGUUGCUGGGCUGAUACUGACGCUGAUGCGCGAAAGCCAGGGGAGCAAACAGG
rnacentral:rRNA from 1 species